ACUGCUCAGUAACACGUGGAUAACCUGCCCAAGGGUCUGGGAUAACCCCGGGAAACUGGGGAUAAUACCGGAUGGAUCACUAGUGCUGGAAUGCUUGGUGGUCGAAAGGCAACGCCUUUGGAUGGGUCUGCGGCGGAUUAGGUUGACGCCGGUGUAACGUACCGGCGUGCCUGUAAUCCGUACGGGUUGUGGGAGCAAGAGCCCGGAGAUGGAUUCUGAGACACGAAUCCAGGCCCUACGGGGCGCAGCAGGCGCGAAAACUCUACAAUGCAGGCAACUGCGAUAGGGGGACAUCGAGUGGCAUCCACCUUGGGUGCCUGUCCAACCGUCUAAAAAACGGUUGUUAGCAAGGGCCGGGUAAGACCGGUGCCAGCCGCCGCGGUAAUACCGGCGGCUCGAGUGGUGGCCGAUAUUAUUGAGUCUAAAGGGUCCGUAGCCGGCUUUGCAAGUCCCCUGGGAAAUCCAGCGGCUUAACCGUUGGGCUUUCAUGGGAUACUACAUUGCUUGGGACUGGGAGAGGUAGGAGGUACUCGGGGGGUAGGGGUGAAAUCCUGUAAUCCUCCGGGGACCACCGGUGGCGAAGGCGUCCUACCAGAACAGGUCCGACGGUGAGGGACGAAAGCUAGGGGCACGAACCGGAUUAGAUACCCGGGUAGUCCUAGCCGUAAACGAUGCCCGCUAGGUGUCACGACGGUCGUGAAUCGUCGUGGUGCCGUAGGGAAGCCGCGAAGCGGGCCACUUGGGAAGUACGACCGCAAGGUUGAAACUUAAAGGAAUUGGCGGGGGAGCAC
rnacentral:rRNA from 1 species